AACGAACGCUGGCGGCGCGCCUAACACAUGCAAGUCGAACGAGAAUCCGGGGCAACCCGGUAGUAAAGUGGCAAACGGGUGAGGAAUACAUGGGUAACCUACCCUUGAGAAGGGAAUAACCCGCCGAAAGGUGAGCUAAUACCCUAUACGCUAUCUUUUUUUCGAAAAGGAUAGGAAAGCCGGGUCGAGGACCUGGUACUCAAGGAGGGGCUCAUGUCCUAUCAGCUUGUUGGUGGGGUAACGGCCUACCAAGGCUACGACGGGUAGCUGGUCUGAGAGGAUGAUCAGCCACACUGGCACUGAGAUACGGGCCAGACUCCUACGGGAGCAGCAGUGAGGAAUAUUGCGCAAUGGGCGAAAGCCUGACGCAGCGACGCCGCGUGGGGGAUGAAGGUCUUCGGAUCGUAAAGCUCUGUGGGGGGGAGAAGAAGAAAGCCGGUGAAGAGCCGGCCCUGACGGUAUCCCCUUAGCAAGCACCGGCUAACUCCGUGCCAGCAGCCG
rnacentral:rRNA from 1 species